rnacentral:lncRNA from 1 species
UGAAGAAAGGAGUCGGUGCACUUCGGCAUAAGCCUUACUAUUCAUCUAACUCUGUAAGCAGUCCUCCUCAGGGAAAAGAACAGUCCACGCAUGAGCAAGUAUUAAACUCUAACGGAACCCGGGGUUAGUAAAGAUAGUUUACCUCCCCUGCCCACGAAGUACGAAGUGAGGGAGGUGUGCUUUCGUGCUUUGAACUAACCUUUACGCACUGAAAGCUCACGAAGGGACUACUUCCUUUCGAUUUGAGGACUUUGAUUGAAUGAGAUUCUAGAUAUCAAAACAGGAAGUUGCUAUUUGAACUCGAAGCAACUGACCUUAAUUCCCCCCUGGUCUCUAUCCUUAAGGAAGUCAUGCUUUUGCCCUUUUGAGUGAGUCCUUUGGAGAACGGACUGUUACUAAUCCGAUGGAAAGAAUCCUUGAUCUCAUCCAGGGAACGGAAACACAAGCUGUUGGUGGCUAAAAAGCACCCGGCUUGAAGCAUCUUGGUGGUCUGGCUCAUGGUAGGUUUUUUUGUUUUACUACGCGGCCUAUCGAAUCGAAGCGAACUUAGGCCUUUUUGGUCCUAUCGAAUCUUCCUUUUCUGUAUAAGAAGAGGUAAGGGCACGUAGCGUUUCACUCUUAACUUCUUCUAUUAGAUAGGGGAUGUUACCCAGACUUAGACCCUAAGUCAUUCUUAGCGAAGCGACCAAUCAUAAGAAUGAGAUACGGACCUCCCGUCUUUUUCAGUCUCCCUCCUUUCCCUUCAUUCUAAGUAAGUAGCGGUCCAAGUCUCCUUCCCGACCGAUCGAAGGGGGUAACAAGGGAUAACUCCCAAAGAAGUAGUGUUUCAUCUGCCCGAUCCCUUACAAAUUCUUCUUAGCUCUGAAGCAUUCCCUCCGAAAUCAGUCCAUUCAAGAAUAAUAACAGGUUAAGGCCCCGUUCCACUAGAUGAGAGGAAAGAAUCUUUCGCUUAUGUGACUAUAGGUCUUUUCCCUGGAGGCAAUAAUGGCUAGGAACAAAAGCUAGGAGUUAG